AGCUUGAUGAUGAUUGUUUGAUUGCUUUGAAGCAACAUGAAAAAUCCAUUUCACCGGCUCUGAGAGCU
rnacentral:snoRNA from 15 species